rnacentral:rRNA from 1 species
CUAACACAUGCAAGUCGAACGGUAACGCCCCUUCUGUUGCUCUCUAGCUGACAACGGGCGAAUGGCACGUGAAUGUCUUACCCGCUGCCUGAUGGAAGUCCAUAACUCUUGUCACUGGCAGCUCCUUUGGAUUAACGUCGUAAGACAUGGUGGGGGAACCCUCCGGCCUCGAGGCAUCGGAUGUGCCCCUAUGGGAUUGUUUUGUUGGUAAGGUAACGCCUAAGCUUCAAUGGGAUCCCUAGCUGGUCUGGUGACCGCUCAUCUGGCUGGUACUGAGACACCUCACUCCUAUCCUACGAGAGGCUGGGGAAUAUAAUAUUGCGAAUGGGCGCAGGUCUGAUGCAGCCAUGCCGCGUGUGACCGGAUCGUUCGGAUUGCUCUUUCUUUCGGCGGAGACGCAAGUAAUAGAACUUGUACCUUAGCUUGUGGACGUCCCCCUCACAUCAUCCGCGGUUAACUCUGUGCCCGAACCCCCCUCCAUAAUUAUUUAGCAAACAUGAUCGCAAUCAAUGUGUCGAGAGCGCAGUGAAAAGUUUGUUUAUUCAAUGUGCGGUCUCCGAGGUAUCUGGUAUGUGUAUCUCAUAGGAAUAGAUUUCUGGCGUAUAUGGGACAGAAUGCACCUUCACGAUGAAGUUGUCCAGAUCUGUCCAAUUCCUUUCUGACGCUGACCCCGAAUAAUCCGAGCUACAAGACUUA